AAGACCUGGCUACCAGUAGAGAAGGAUCUUUUCUGGUGAUCUGCUUUGCUGGUGUUUUGUGAGCGAGCCCAGGAUAGGGGAAGCUCAGUGUGGUCACUAAUCAUCAAGCAGAAAUGGAGACACAGAGGGCAAAGAGCAUGUUCUUGGCUCACGCGGGAUGAAUCCCCCUGACUCAGGCUGGUCUCUGUAUUGGCUCUGUGCAGCACACAGCAGUCACAACAGAAGGCCAAGCAGAUUUGCCAGGCACCAUAAGCUUCCCUGCCUACGAGGCAUGACUGUCAGCUACUCAGCCUUUCCAGGGGAGAAAGAAAUGAUUCCACAGUUCCACAUGGCAAGUUUGAUGCGUAUCCUUCACCUGAUGUGCCAGUUCCAGACUGAGCAAUCAGU